rnacentral:rRNA from 1 species
AGUCGAGCGAACGACGAGGAGCUUGCUCCUCUGACGUUAGCGGCGGACGGGUGAGUAACACGUGGAUAACCUACCUAUAAGACUGGGAUAACUUCGGGAAACCGGAGCUAAUACCGGAUAAUAUAUUGAACCGCAUGGUUCAAUAGUGAAAGACGGUUUUGCUGUCACUUAUAGAUGGAUCCGCGCCGCAUUAGCUAGUUGGUAAGGUAACGGCUUACCAAGGCAACGAUGCGUAGCCGACCUGAGAGGGUGAUCGGCCACACUGGAACUGAGACACGGUCCAGACUCCUACGGGAGGCAGCAGUAGGGAAUCUUCCGCAAUGGGCGAAAGCCUGACGGAGCAACGCCGCGUGAGUGAUGAAGGUCUUCGGAUCGUAAAACUCUGUUAUUAGGGAAGAACAAAUGUGUAAGUAACUAUGCACGUCUUGACGGUACCUAAUCAGAAAGCCACGGCUAACUACGUGCCAGCAGCCGCGGUAAUACGUAGGUGGCAAGCGUUAUCCGGAAUUAUUGGGCGUAAAGCGCGCGUAGGCGGUUUUUUAAGUCUGAUGUGAAAGCCCACGGCUCAACCGUGGAGGGUCAUUGGAAACUGGAAAACUUGAGUGCAGAAGAGGAAAGUGGAAUUCCAUGUGUAGCGGUGAAAUGCGCAGAGAUAUGGAGGAACACCAGUGGCGAAGGCGACUUUCUGGUCUGUAACUGACGCUGAUGUGCGAAAGCGUGGGGAUCAAACAGGAUUAGAU